UACGGGGGGGGCGAGCGUUGUUCGGAAUUACUGGGCGUAAAGGGUUUGUAGGUGGCCUGCUAAGUCAGACGUGAAAUCCCUCAGCUUAACUGGGGAACUGCGUCUGAUACUGGCGCGCUUGAGGACAGGAGAGGAACGCGGAAUUCCAGGUGUAGCGGUGAAAUGCGUAGAUAUCUGGAGGAACACCGGUGGCGAAGGCGGCGUUCUGGACUGUUUCUGACACUGAAAAACGAAAGCCAGGGGAGCAAACGGG
rnacentral:rRNA from 1 species